rnacentral:rRNA from 1 species
CUGCGGCAGCGACACUAUGUGUUGUUGGGUAGGGGAGCGUUCUGUAAGCCUGUGAAGGUGUGUCGUGAGGCAUGCUGGAGGUAUCAGAAGUGCGAAUGCUGACAUAAGUAACGAUAAAGCGGGUGAAAAGCCCGCUCGCCGGAAGACCAAGGGUUCCUGUCCAACGUUAAUCGGGGCAGGGUGAGUCGACCCCUAAGGCGAGGCCGAAAGGCGUAGUCGAUGGGAAACGGGUUAAUAUUCCCGUACUUGGUGUUACUGCGAAGGGGGGACGGAGAAGGCUAUGUUGGCCGGGCGACGGUUGUCCCGGUUUAAGCGUGUAGGUGUGUGUUCCAGGUAAAUCCGGUUCACUUUAACACUGAGGCGUGACGACGAGGCACUACGGUGCUGAAGCAACAAAUGCCCUGCUUCCAGGAAAAGCCUCUAAGCAUCAGGUAACAUCAAAUCGUACCCCAAACCGACACAGGUGGUCAGGUAGAGAAUACCAAGGCGCUUGAGAGAACUCGGGUGAAGGAACUAGGCAAAAUGGUGCCGUAACUUCGGGAGAAGGCACGCUGACACGUAGGUGAAGUGAUUUACUCAUGGAGCUGAAGUCAGUCGAAGAUACCAGCUGGCUGCAACUGUUUAUUAAAAACACAGCACUGUGCAAACACGAAAGUGGACGUAUACGGUGUGACGCCUGCCCGGUGCCGGAAGGUUAAUUGAUGGGGUCAGCGCAAGCGAAGCUCCUGAUCGAAGCCCCGGUAAACGGCGGCCGUAACUAUAACGGUCCUAAGGUAGCGAAAUUCCUUGUCGGGUAAGUUCCGACCUGCACGAAUGGCGUAAUGAUGGCCAGGCUGUCUCCACCCGAGACUCAGUGAAAUUGAACUCGCUGUGAAGAUGCAGUGUACCCGCGGCAAGACGGAAAGACCCCGUGAACCUUUACUAUAGCUUGACACUGAACAUUGAGCCUUGAUGUGUAGGAUAGGUGGGAGGCUUUGAAGUGUGGACGCCAGUCUGCAUGGAGCCGACCUUGAAAUACCACCCUUUAAUGUUUGAUGUUCUAACGUGGACCCGUGAUCCGGGUUGCGGACAGUGUCUGGUGGGUAGUUUGACUGGGGCGGUCUCCUCCUAAAGAGUAACGGAGGAGCACGAAGGUUGGCUAAUCCUGGUCGGACAUCAGGAGGUUAGUGCAAUGGCAUAAGCCAGCUUGACUGCGAGCGUGACGGCGCGAGCAGGUGCGAAAGCAGGUCAUAGUGAUCCGGUGGUUCUGAAUGGAAGGGCCAUCGCUCAACGGAUAAAAGGUACUCCGGGGAUAACAGGCUGAUACCGCCCAAGAGUUCAUAUCGACGGCGGUGUUUGGCACCUCGAUGUCGGCUCAUCACAUCCUGGGGCUGAAGUAGGUCCCAAGGGUAUGGCUGUUCGCCAUUUAAAGUGGUACGCGAGCUGGGUUUAGAACGUCGUGAGACAGUUCGGUCCCUAUCUGCCGUGGGCGCUGGAGAACUGAGGGGGGCUGCUCCUAGUACGAGAGGACCGGAGUGGACGCAUCACUGGUGUUCGGGUUGUCAUGCCAAUGGCACUGCCCGGUAGCUAAAUGCGGAAGAGAUAAGUGCUGAAAGCAUCUAAGCACGAAACUUGCCCCGAGAUGAGUUCUCCCUGAGACUUAAAGUCUCCUGAAGGAACGUUGAAGACGACGACGUUGAUAGGCCGGGUGUGUAAGCGCAGCGAUGCGUUGAGCUAACCGGUACUAAUGAACCGUGAGGCUUAACCUUACAACGCCGAAG